rnacentral:rRNA from 1 species
UACGUAGGGGGCGAGCGUUGUCCGGAUUCAUUGGGCGUAAAGCGCUUUAAGGCGGUUCGCUAAGUCGGGUGUGAAACCCCAGGCUCAACCUGGAGACGCCACUCGAUACUGGCGUGACUAGAGUCCGGUAGGGGACCACGGAAUUCCUGGUGUAGCGGUGAAAUGCGCAGAUAUCAGGAGGAACACCAGUGGCGAAGGCGGUGGUCUGGGCCGGAACUGACGCUGUAGAGCGAAAGCGUGGGGAGCGAACAGG